rnacentral:rRNA from 1 species
GACGAACGCUGGCGGUGUGCUUCACACAUGCAAGUCGAACGAGGUAGCAAUACCUAGUGGCGGACGGGUGAGUAACGCGUGGGAAUCUGCCUUUAGAUGGGGGGAUAACGGGUCGAAAGACUCGCUAAUACCGCAUAUGACGAAAGUUGAAAGGGGUAAUCCGUCUAAAGAUGAGCCCGCGUCCGAUUAGCUAGUUGGUAGAGUAAAAGCCUACCAAGGCGACGAUCGGUAGCUGGUCUGAGAGGAUGAUCAGCCACAAUGGGAACUAGAAGGCACGGCCCAUACUCCUACGGAGGCAGCAGUGGGAAUUUACGCAAUGGGCGAAAGCCUGACGUAGCGACACCGCGUGAGCGAAGAAGCCCCUGGGGUGUAAAGCUCUGUCAGCUGGACGAAAAAAUGACGGUACCAGCAGAGGAAGCAUCGGCUAACUACGUGCCAGCAGCCGCGGUAAU